AGGCGCUGGGGCCGGAAGCCUCUCGCAGGGGGUUCACCGUGCCUCCAAGGCUGAGACCCGCUGCCUCGUGUCUAUUUGGAGCGCAGGCUCAGGAGGAUCCCCUCAUUCCCGAUACAGGGACUGCCAUCUGAACGCAUGUGGUGUGACCUUGCCAAUGCAGGCUUCAAGGCUGAGCUGGAAUGAAGGAAGUCUGUUGCCCUGGAAGAACCCCUUACAUAUUUCAAGCAAUUUCUCCAGUUCAUUUGUUUCAAGCACCUCUGAAUUCCUCUGGCAUAAUCACCGUACCCUUUGUCAACACAAAGUGAUUGUUUAAACGAUUCAAUCAGAUCAUGCCAUGGGCGACUAUUUCCAUUUAUUAUGAUUCAUUGCCUGUUUAGCAUCAAUGUGCAAGGCAUAUUCAACAGAAGAGGAAGCUUUGAAAAUGAUUUUCUUUCUGCUCUGGAGGCCCACAGUAUAAAAACAACUUGCUCAGAGUGAAGGAAAGAUUAUCCUCACUGAUGGGGAUCAGUGACUAAGGACAUUUGGGGAAGGAAGUUUAAUUUUCCAGAUGAAAAAGAACAAGACUCUCUCAUUGCCAUUGAUCUUCCAAUUGACCUAGAGCACAGAGUAAAUUGAUUAAAGAGAAAGAGAAUUCCUGGGUUUUCAGCAGGCUAGGAAGAGAUGCAUCAUGGAUAAAGCCAAGUCACAUAAUCCCACUGAAGGCAGGAAGCUGGUGUUCUUAGUCUCUGAGCCCCAGCUCCGUGCUGGCACCUUCAGGAACUGAAUAAAUGCUUAGUUAAUUGGUUAAUUCAA